rnacentral:rRNA from 1 species
AGCAGCCGCGGUAAUUCCAGCUCCAAUAGCGUAUAUUAAAGUUGUUGCAGUUAAAAAGCUCGUAGUUGAAUUUCGGGGUCAGUAGUUUGGUCAUGCCACAGGUAUGUACUGAUCUUACUGAUUCCUCCUUCCUGAUGAACCGUAAUGCCAUUAAUUUGGUGUUGCGGGGAAACUGGACUGUUACUUUGAAAAAAUUAGAGUGUUUAAAGCAGGCUAACGCUUGAAUACAUUAGCAUGGAAUAAUGAAAUAGGACGUUCGAUCCUAUUUUGUUGGUUUCUAGGAUUGACGUAAUGAUUAAUAGGGAUAGUUGGGGGCAUUAGUAUUCAAUUGUCAGAGGUGAAAUUCUUGGAUUUAUUGAAGACUAACUACUGCGAAAGCAUUUGCCAAGGAUGUUUUCAUUAAUCAAGAACGAAAGUUAGGGGAUCGAAGACGAUCAGAUACCGUCGUAGUCUUAACCAUAAACUAUGCCGACUAGGGAUCGGAUGAUGUUAAUUUUAUAAUGACUCA